ensembl:snRNA U6 U6 spliceosomal RNA
GUGCUUGCAUUGGCUACACAGACACUAAAAUUGGAACGAUACAGAGAAGAUUAGCAUGGUCCUUGUGCAAGGAUGACAUGCAAUUUCGCAAAGCAUUCCAUAUUCUU